CGGAGAAGUUGCCGAGCGCAUCUGGCGCCGUGUGCGUGUCUACAGCCUAUGGAUGUGCGCCUUGCACGGACGUCGGUGGAUGUGUGUGAGUGUGUAUUUCAGAUGAGGGAAGGGGACUGGACUGAAGUGAACUCCCAGAGGGACGCGACAGGCAGAGGGGUCUGUCCGAGGAGGGGCUUUCUGGAGACACGGGGGCAACAAGUGUGGCUCUUUUCACACCAACGGUCUCCACCGAUGCAAAACUGAGCUCUGUCGUGAUUCCGUGUCCACUUUAGCCUCAUUGUCUUCUAGGCACCCCGUCAUGAUCACACCUCCUUCUCAGAGACUUAACUGAGGGGAGGACAAAAAUAGACAGAUGCUUCUCAGCUGUUGUCUCCUGCGAUGUUGGUGCGUGAGGCUCAACGGUUCUCAUGCUGCACUGGUUCCCUGUAGCUGUGAUAUGACUGCAAAAAACAUUAGGCAGGAUCCCAGCACACUACAUUGCAAUAUCCUUCACUGUAUUGGACGAGUCACUGUCUGACUGGCAGGAAGGAAGGAAGGAAGUAAUGACGACAUGAUGUGACAUCAAUGUCUCUGGGGAGGUAAAUUAAUAAAUGAAUGAAGGGAGGAGAAUUGGAGGUGGGUGAUGAUAAAGGUAUUAUGCUUUGGACUUGUGUUUUGGACAGAGAUCAGCUAAAUUAAUGAUUGAAUGAAUGAAUGAAUUAGUCAGUUAUUUGAUGAACCAAUGAGUGAACAGCUGACUUGCAAUCACUGUAUUUGAAUCGCUCUUACCCCUGUGACUGAGAGUAACCUGCGGUCGACAGGCUCUGGUCUGGCCUGCCAACCAGGCUCUGCCACAGAGAUUUUAAAGUGGUCAUCACUGCUCUCUGUCUUUUGGGUUUGGUGCUACUGUAUCUAGGUCAACAACUACUACUAGUGCUGAAUCAUGAAUCCAGGGAGUAAACAGCUCUGAGAGGAAACCAGCUUGCUGAUACAUAAUUUCAAGAUCAUGUG